rnacentral:rRNA from 1 species
UGGGGGAAUAUUGCACAAUGGGCGCAAGCCUGAUGCAGCAACGCCGCGUGAGGGAUGACGGCCUUCGGGUUGUAAACCUCUUUUAGCAGGGAAGAAGCGAAAGUGACGGUACCUGCAGAAAAAAGCACCGGCUAACUACGUGCCAGCAGCCGCGGUAAUACGUAGGGUGCAAGCGUUGUCCGGAAUUAUUGGGCGUAAAGAGCUCGUAGGCAGUCUGUCGCGUCUGCUGUGAAAUCCCGAGGCUCAACCUCGGGCCUGCAGUGGGUACGGGCAGACUAGAGUGCGGUAGGGGAGAAUGGAACUCCUGGUGUAGCGGUGGAAUGCGCAGAUAUCAGGAAGAACACCGAUGGCGAAGGCAGUUCUCUGGGCCGUAACUGACGCUGAGGAGCGAAAGCGUGGGGAGCGAACAGGAUUAGAUACCCUGGUAGUCCACGCCGCAAACGUUGGGCGCUAGAUGUGGGGACCAUUCCACGGUUUCCGUGUCGCAGCUAACGCAUUAAGCGCCCCGCCUGGGGAGUACGGCCGCAAGGCUAAAAACUCAAAUGAA